rnacentral:ncRNA from 1 species
CAAAGGCUUGGUCCUGACUUUACUAUCAGCUUUAACUGAACUUACACAUGCAAGUCUCCGCACUCCUGUGAGGAUGCCCUUAAUCCCCUGCCCGGGGACGAGGAGCCGGCAUCAGGCACGCCUCGGCAGCCCAAGACGCCUUGCUAAGCCACACCCCCAAGGAAACUCAGCAGUGAUAGAUAUUAAGCCAUAAGCGAAAGCUUGACUUAGUUAAGGUUAAGAGGGCCGGUAAAACUCGUGCCAGCCACCGCGGUUAUACGAGAGGCCCAAGUUGACAAUUACCGGCGUAAAGAGUGGUUAUGGAAUAAUAUUUAAUAAAGCCGAACACCCCCUCAGCUGUCAUACGCACCUGGGGGCACGAAGCUCCACUGCGAAAGCAGCUUUAAUACCCCUGAACCCACGACAGCUAUGAAACAAACUGGGAUUAGAUACCCCACUAUGCCUAGCCGUAAACUUUGAUGAAAAUAUACAACUGACAUCCGCCAGGGAACUACAAGCGCCAGCUUAAAACCCAAAGGACUUGGCGGUGCCUCAGACCCACCUAGAGGAGCCUGUUCUAGAACCGAUAACCCCCGUUCAACCUCACCACCUCUUGUUUUCCCCGCCUAUAUACCACCGUCGUCAGCUUACCCUGUGAAGGUUAUAUAGUAAGCAAAAUGGGUAUAACCCAAAACGUCAGGUCGAGGUGUAGCGCAUGGGGUGGGAAGAAAUGGGCUACAUUCUCUAAAAUAGAGCAUUACGAACCACGCUGUGAAACCAGCGUUCGAAGGUGGAUUUAGCAGUAAACAGAAAGCAGAGAGUUCUCUUGAAACUGGCUCUGAGGCGCGCACACACCGCCCGUCACUCUCCCCAAGUUCAAUAUACCCUUCUAACUAAGAAGUUAGCCGAACAAAGGGGAGGCAAGUCGUAACAUGGUAAGUGUACCGGAAGGUGCGCUUGGAAUAAC